CAAAAAGAGCCUUUAGAUGGUGUCAGGAGGGGAAAUGCACGGUGCAGUCUUGCAAGUGGGAUGCUGUCAUCCCAUCUAGACAGAGAAACAUGCUAGUUCUUUCUUAUCCCCGAGGUCUAGGAAAGAAGAGAGUCGUGCUGCAGUAUCAUACAGUGCACAGCUGCAUCUCUGCCAUGCAUGUCUUAGUCCCCCAGUUUCAGUAAUCGAUGGCCAUGUAGGAGAGAACCCACGUCAUUCCACGUGUCUCAGGGGCAGAGCUGGCUCAGUGGACUCCUGCCCAUGGCUGCCAGCCGUGCCCCAUACCAGUGCACUCAGGAGCCGUGUUCAUGCAGAGGUGAGAGUUCAGGGGACACUCAGCCCAUCCGUUUGUCUCAACAGGCCAUGUGUCCGGCUCCGUGGAAGGGACUGCAACUGCUGGUGAGGCUUUCCCCUUCUUCCUGCUGUCCCCAUGCAUUCCAGUCUUCCCCUCCACUCUCCUUUGUCCCCAUCCUGUCACUACGUCCCCAACACACCCCAAUUUUGUCCACAUCUCCCCCCUCGCACUCCUCUGCACUCCAUCAACCCCAAGCUCUCUGUCCCCAUCCCUGCACUCUGUCCCCAGUCCCCAACAACCAGCAGGCCUCCACAGUCACUGCGGUGGUAUUGGUGACUGUCACCCUCCUCCUUUCUGCAGCGACCUUCUGGACCAUCAAGAAAGGUGAGGGCUUGUGGGAAGCGGGAGGGAUCCAUGAGGCUGUCACAGCUCUGAUGUGGGACACUUCUUCUUGCAGGUCCCUGCAGGGAGAGAUGCCGAAGAUGCCAGCAUUGUCCACUUUCAAAGAGACAAGAAAAAUGGGAAAUCAUGAGAUACGUUUUCUAGCCACAGAUCACACUCUCCUCUCUGACUUCUGCAAACACCUCCCCUUGAUGUGCAGAACUGCAGCCCCUUGUUGCUGCUGCCAAAAUUGCAUGGAUCCUUCUCAGAAGCUCCAGAAAUGGUUCUAUUUGAGGAGCUGGAAGAACAUUUCUGAAUGUUUUAAAGAAAGCAAAAGGAGAAAAUCUCACCAACAAUUCUGA
rnacentral:lncRNA from 1 species